UUCGCUUUGUGUUUGCUUUCUGUAGUCUCAAAGCAAAGCAAUGGUCACUGCAAAUUUUAUCAGAGAAUGUGCAACAAAAGCACGUUGAGAAGUUCCUGUGAGCCCUAAUUAUUUCUUGAGAAAGCAAACUUAUUUAUCCUUGCUCUAUUUUUUGUGUACUAAGAUUGUUCGUUUGUACCCAGCAUGUGUACGUGAUGUGCCCUGCCGCUGUGUGUGCUUCCUGCUGAUGUGUGUGCUUCCUGACGCUGUUGAGCAUGCGUGUGUGUGUUCGCUGUCGCUGUUUAUUAACAUUGUCAUGCUCUCCUUACUUUUUGCUUAACAAUUCAUGAUCAAUACUGAACAUUAUUUUUUGAAUAGAUGCCACUUGAACUUAGUUUUAGCUCUCAUGUUGUUCAAAGAAUCGUCAAGUAAUGUUUUGCAUGGAUUUUAUAACUGACACAAUGUUUCUGAUUUAACGAGAGCCAACCAUGCGUUCCUGGCUUCCCCGGCGAUGCCAACAUGGCAGGGCAGGACCCAGUGGCCAUCUUCGGCGCCUUCAUGGACUUCGUCAGCGCCGACCUCUGCUUCAUCAUCUACGGCCACGACCCCUUUGCCGUCGGCAUCAUCCGGCACCUCGGAAUGCAAAUUAAAUGUGUUCAUGGAGUGGGGUGUAAUUGUGAUUUGUGCAAUGGGUUCAGAGUGGAAGGGGCUGUCAUUCUUGUUUAGCAGGGGCUGCAAGUUCUAUCGCUAUAAGCCUGACUUGCAGCGGCAACAACAGAUUCAGAUGUGGUAAGCUCAUUCAUUCAUUCUCUCAGGACAAGGGGACCAAAUUGAUUCAAAUUUUGUGUUCUGAUCUUAAUGUUGCGAGGUUUGCGAUCGCAUGUAUGGUCGGGACUGCAUGGGUCCCGCGACCAAUUGCUUGCAUCUCUUGCUGUAUGGUGAUGGUGACCGGCUCCUGUUAAAUCCAAUACGACUGCACUUGUUCGCUUCAGGUGGCCGUGAAGCUCUGACUCCAUCCUCACGACACUCAAACCUGUCUUGAUGAUUGCAUCAGAUUGCAACUCUAUUAUCUUUUCAUACCAUGAUAUGCGUGCAUGUCUCUUCGGUUCUCAAACAAGAAAUACUUUUCUUUCAGUUUGCUUUGUAGGUAACAUGCAGUGUACAGUUGGUAGCAGAUUAUGAUGCAAGUUUGUUUGUUUUCACUCCACAAGCAUGAUUUUUAUGAUACAUGACGCUACUCUGAGGCUGCUCCUCACUACCAGUCACAACAAGAUGGGGCCCCUGGUGGUCCUCUGAAAUUUGAUUCUCUCGAUGGCCGAGGAUCGUUUUGCUUUGAAGUCUGAUGUACAUUUUUUUAAUCUCAUGUAGGAAGAAGGUAUCCCCCCUAUACGAAGAUUUCUAGCUUGCCUGUGUGUUGAUGAGUGCAUUCGGCCAAACAAUUUGUGGACCAAAUAAACUUGUUGCAGAUACAGAAGAACAAGGCUGCACACAAGGAGUUGCCUGAAUUGCAGUGGCAGCGGUGUUGUAAUAUGAAUCAAGCUUGUGAAGAAAAAUUUCGUUACUUUAAUGACACACACUUGCAUUUAAUCUUAACAGUUCCACAUCCCACAUCGAACCUUCCAGACUCGUCCAAGUGACCAUUUGCAACAUCCUUUUCCGGUCAAUCUGGAUUAUUUCAAGGUUUUCAUCACUCUGGUCUGCACAACAUUCAUGGAAAUUAUAGUCUUCCAAAAUAUUCCUGGAUCACUUGCAAAAAGGAAUGCUGUGAAGAGUAGCGUUCCAUCAUCUGGGGUCCAACAACCCAGAGGGAGCAUUUCUGGGAGAUUUGCUGCAAACAGCCUCCCUGUUGUCAUUCUCAGAUUCCUCAUGCACAUUCAGGUGUCAGUGGUAGAGUAAUGAAUGUUGGUGGAGGUCAAGCAUUUAGAAGUGGAAUGAAUAUGGGUGGUACCAUUCAAGGUUUAUCCUCAAACUUGGCCACCAGUGGUAAUCGAAAUUAUGUUCCUGGAAACCCAGCUUUGGGUCCAUGUAUUACAAACAUUGUGCGCAGAAGUAACAUUGGAAUAAAUAUAAGCUCUGGUGGGUUGUCGGUGCCGAUUAUCUCAUCACACAUCGAUUUUAGGGUCAAUGCUGCAAGUGGAAGACUAAAUGUGCAAGGAUCCAACAGGAUGAUGAAUGGCCUUAUUCUGCAAGGUAUGCCUGAUGGAGCGAUUGGGUUGAUGCUGAAGCUGAUAUACUCCCCUAAGUUGCUCCAAUCGGGAAUGCAGAUAUACUUCCGUGAGUUGCUCCCCAAAACCAAUCCCUUGCUCUUCUUUGCACCAAUCGGACAAGAGAUGCGAGCCAUCCUUUUUACUGGAUGUUCUCUUGAUCGUUUCUUCCUAUGGAUUUUGUGGUUGCCAGAUGUUCUCUCACUGUGGAUUGGUAUGAAGGUUGUAAAACAUUUUCAUUAGGCAUCAAUUUUAUUGCUGGUGCUUGUCUGGCUGUAAAAUCUGCUCAAUAUGUAUAUUUUCCUUUCGUCUGUGUCCCUUUUCCGAUAUAAUACUGAACCUUUUGGAA